rnacentral:rRNA from 1 species
GGGUCAGUAGGUUGGUCGUGCCACCGGUACGUACUGGUCUCACUGAUUCCUCCUUCCUGAAGUACCGUAAUGCCAUUAAUUUGGUGUUGCGGGGAAACAGGACUGUUACUUUGAAAAAAUUAGAGUGUUUAAGGCAAGCUAACGCUUGAAUACAUUAGCAUGGAAUAAUGAAAUAGGACGAUCGAUCCUAUUUUGUUGGUUUCUAGGAUUGACGUA